GCGCAGCAGUCGCGAAAACUCCGCAAUGCACGAAAGUGUGACGGGGCUACCCCGAGUGCCGUCCGCUGAGGAUGGCUUUUCCUCGGUGUAACUAGCCGGGGGAAUAAGGGGAGGGCAAGACUGGUGUCAGCCGCCGCGGUAAUACCAGCUCUCCGAGUGGUAGGGAUGAUUAUUGGGCUUAAAGCGUCCGUAGCCGGCUUAGCAAGUCUCCUGUUAAAUUCAGCGACCUAAUCGUUGAGCCGCGGGAGAUACUACUAGGCUAGGAGGCGGGAGAGGCCGACGGUACUUCCGGGGUAGGGGUGAAAUCCUAUAAUCCCGGGCGGACCACCAGUGGCGAAG
rnacentral:rRNA from 1 species